GGUUGGGUUGACCCGACUGUAGAUUUUCUUUUUUUUUUUCUUUCCUUUUUUCUCUCUUUUUCUCCUUCUUUUUUCUUUCUUUUUCUUCUUCUUCUUCGGGUCACACCUUUGCCCCACGCCGUAGCCGUCCUUUGCGCCAAACUCCUCCGCCCUCAGUGGCUAUGGAUGGCUCCCCUCUUCCCUUUUCCUUCUCCCUUUCUCCUUUCCUUUACUUCUUUUCUCCCUCCCUUUCUAUUUGGUUGCUGUUUUUUACUUAAUUUUUAUUUUCGUGUUGCUUGUUGUUUUUCUUUUCUUUUUGUUUCGGUUUCCCUUGGCUUCUAGGUGGUGGUGCGGUGGUUGCGGUGGCGGGGUAAUGGCGCGACGGUGGCGAUGGCUUUUGGGCUGCUGUGGCAGUGGAGCAAUCAUGGCCUAGGGAGGCUGCUGGAGUAGCUCGACUGCCGAUUUGUUGAUUUGACAAGUCUAGAAGGACUAAAUUGUAGAGGGCGCAAAGUUUCUGGGGUAAAAAUACAAUUUUAGGAAAAUAUAGGGCUAAAGUGUAAUUUCGAGAAAGUUUAGGGCCCAAGUGUAAUUUACAAAAUAUUAGGGAUCAAGAUGUAAUUUUUUUGUUUUUGUAUUUUUUUUUUAAAUUUAAAAAAAAAACGAAAUCGAGCCGGACAAAAUUCAGUGAUUACAUUCCUCAAAGUUUUUAAUGCUUUCUAGAGGAAAUUCCUAUUGUUUUGAUCUAAUAGCUCCUUCAUAUUCAAAGGUAGCAUUCUACUUAGCAUGUAGUAGAGGGAAAUAGUUACAAU